AAAUGAAUAGACGGGGGCCCGCACAAGCGGUGGAGCAUGUGGUUUAAUUCGAUGCAACGCGAAGAACCUUACCAUCCCUUGACAUCCUGCGAACUUUCUAGAGAUAGAUUGGUGCCUUCGGGAGCGCAGUGACAGGUGCUGCAUGGCUGUCGUCAGCUCGUGUCGUGAGAUGUUGGGUUAAGUCCCGUAACGAGCGCAACCCUUAUCAUUAGUUGCUACCAUUUAGUUGAGAACUCUAAUGAGACUGCCGGUGAUAAACCGGAGGAAGGCGGGGACGACGUCAAGUCAUCAUGGCCCUUAUGGGAUGGGCUACACACGUGCUACAAUGGUCGGUACAAACAGUUGCGAAGCCGCGAGGUGGUGCUAAUCUGAUAAAGCCGAUCGUAGUCCGGAUCGGAGUCUGCAACUCGACUCCGUGAAGUCGGAAUCGCUAGUAAUCGUGAAUCAGAAUGUCACGGUGAAUACGUUCCCGGGCCUUGUACACACCGCCCGU
rnacentral:rRNA from 1 species